rnacentral:misc_RNA from 1 species
AACUUUCAACAACGGAUCUCUUGGUUCUGGCAUCGAUGAGAACGCAGCGAAAUGCGAUAAGUAAUGUGAAUUGCAGAAUUCAGUGAAUCAUCGAAUCUUUGAACGCACAUUGCGCCCGCUAGUACUCUGGCGGGCAUGCCUGUUCGAGCGUCAUUUCAACCCUCAAGCCCUGCUUGGUGUUGGGGCCCUACGGCUGCCGUAGGCCCUGAAAGGAAGUGGCGGGCUCGCUACAACUCCGAGCGUAGUAAUUCAUUAUCUCGCUAUGGACGUUGCGGCGGUGCUCCUGCCGUUAAAGACCCCAUCUUUAACCAAGGUUGACCUCGGAUCAGGUAGGAAUACCCGCUGAACUUAAGCAUAUCAAUAAGCGGAGGCU